rnacentral:rRNA from 1 species
GACGAACGCUGGCGGCGUGCCUAAUACAUGCAAGUAGAACGCUGAAGAGAGGAGCUUGCUCUUCUUGGAUGAGUUGCGAACGGGUGAGUAACGCGUAGGUAACCUGCCUUGUAGCGGGGGAUAACUAUUGGAAACGAUAGCUAAUACCGCAUAACAAUGGAUGACACAUGUCAUUUAUUUGAAAGGGGCAAUUGCUCCACUACAAGAUGGACCUGCGUUGUAUUAGCUAGUAGGUGAGGUAAUGGCUCACCUAGGCGACGAUACAUAGCCGACCUGAGAGGGUGAUCGGCCACACUGGGACUGAGACACGGCCCAGACUCCUACGGGAGGCAGCAGUAGGGAAUCUUCGGCAAUAGGGGGAACCCUGACCGAGCAACGCCGCGUGAGGGAAGAAGGUUUUCGGAUCGUAAAGCUCUGUUGUAAGUCAAGAACGGGUGUGAGAGUGGAAAGUUCACACUGUGACGGUAGCUUACCAGAAAGGGACGGCUAACUACGUG